UCAGGAUGAACGCUAGCGGCAGGCCUAAUACAUGCAAGUCGGACGGGAUCUCCCCUUCGGGGGAGUGAGAGUGGCGCACGGGUGCGUAACGCGUAUGCAACCAACCCCUUUCCGGGGGACAGCCGGUGGAAACGCCGGGUAAUACCCCAUGUCGAUGCAGGGAGACAUCUUCCAGCAUUGAAAGACCUCGGUCGGAGAGGGACGGGCAUGCGUCCCAUUAGCUGGUUGGCGGGGCAACGGCCCACCAAGGCGACGAUGGGUAGGGGAUCUGAGAGGACGGUCCCCCACACUGGUACUGAGACACGGACCAGACUCCUACGGGAGGCAGCAGUAAGGAAUAUUGGGCAAUGGGGGGAACCCUGACCCAGCCAUGCCCGCGUGAGGGAAUGAGGCCCUACGGGUCGUGAACCUCUUUUGUUCGGGGACAAGGACGUGGUCGAGAACCACGUUUGCGGGUACCGGACGAAUAAGCAUCGGCUAACUCCGUGCCAGCAGCCGC
rnacentral:rRNA from 1 species